rnacentral:rRNA from 1 species
AUUGAACGCUGGCGGCAUGCUUUACACAUGCAAGUCGGACGGCAGCACAGAGAAGCUUGCUUCUUGGGUGGCGAGUGGCGAACGGGUGAGUAACAUAUCGGAACGUACCGAGCAGUGGGGGAUAACUAAUCGAAAGAUUAGCUAAUACCGCAUAUCUUCUGAGGAAGAAAGCAGGGGACCAUUUGGCCUUGCGCUGUUUGAGCGGCCGAUAUCUGAUUAGCUAGUUGGUGGGGUAAAGGCCUACCAAGGCGACGAUCAGUAGCGGGUCUGAGAGGAUGAUCCGCCACACUGGGACUGAGACACGGCCCAGACUCCUACGGGGGGCAGCAGUGGGGAAUUUUGGACAAUGGGCGCAAGCCUGAUCCAGCCAUGCCGCGUGUCUGAAGAAGGCCUUCGGGUUGUAAAGGACUUUUGUCAGGGAAGAAAAGGGCGGGGUUAAUACCCCUGUCUGAUGACGGUACCUGAAGAAUAAGCACCGGCUAACUACGUG